rnacentral:rRNA from 1 species
GACGUAGGAGACAAGCGUUAUCCGGAGUUACUGGGCGUAAAGGGCGUGUAGGCGGCUGUUUAAGUGGGUUGUGAAAGCGUCUGGCUUAACCGGGCGAGGCCGACCCAGACCGGACAGCUGGAGGGCGGUAGAGGAGUGUGGAAUUCCGGGUGUAGUGGUGAAAUGCGUAGAGAUCCGGAGGAACACCAGAGGCGAAGGCCACACUCUAGGCCGCACCUGACGCUGAGACGCGACAGCACGGGGAGCAAACGGG